rnacentral:tRNA from 1 species
AGGUAUUUAGUGUAAAAUUAAGACAUUUGAUUUCGGCUCAAAAGCUUAUGGUUAAAAUCCAUAACUACCUA